GUGCUUACGUCAGCAGCGCAUAUCCUAAAAUUGGAACAGUGCGGAGAUUUGCGUGGCCCCUUGGCAAGGAUGACUUGCAAAUCUGUGAAGCGUUCCAUAUUUUU
ensembl:snRNA U6 U6 spliceosomal RNA